rnacentral:rRNA from 1 species
GGGCUUCGGGCUGCGCUCCCAACCCAAUGUGAACGUUACCAAACUGUUGCCUCGGCGGGAUCUCUGCCCCGGGUGCGUCGCAGCCCCGGACCAAGGCGCCCGCCGGAGGACCAACCAAAACUCUUUUGUAUACCCCCUCGCGGGUUUUUAUAUCUGAGCCAUCUCGGCGCCUCUCGUAGGCGUUUCGAAAAUGAAUCAAAACUUUCAACAACGGAUCUCUUGGUUCUGGCAUCGAUGAAGAACGCAGCGAAAUGCGAUAAGUAAUGUGAAUUGCAGAAUUCAGUGAAUCAUCGAAUCUUUGAACGCACAUUGCGCCCGCCAGUAUUCUGGCGGGCAUGCCUGUCCGAGCGUCAUUUCAACCCUCGAACCCCUCCGGGGGGUCGGCGUUGGGGAUCGGCCCUUUACGGGGCCGGCCCCGAAAUACAGUGGCGGUCUCGCCGCAGCCUCUCCUGCGCAGUAGUUUGCACACUCGCAUCGGGAGCGCGGCGCGUCCAUUGCCGUAAAACACCCAACUUUCUGAAAUGUUGACCUCGGAUCAGGUAGGAAUACCCGCUGAACUUAAGCAUAUCAAAGCCGGGAGGAA